rnacentral:rRNA from 1 species
AUUGCCUCAGUAACGGCGAGUGAAGCGGCAACAGCUCAAAUUUGAAAUCUGGCCCCAGGCCCGAGUUGUAAUUUGCAGAGGAUGCUUUUGGCGCGGUGCCUUCCGAGUUCCCUGGAACGGGACGCCAUAGAGGGUGAGAGCCCCGUCUGGUUGGACACCAAGCCUUUGUAAAGCUCCUUCGACGAGUCGAGUAGUUUGGGAAUGCUGCUCUAAAUGGGAGGUACAUGUCUUCUAAAGCUAAAUACCGGCCAGAGACCGAUAGCGCACAAGUAGAGUGAUCGAAAGAUGAAAAGCACUUUGGAAAGAGAGUUAAACAGCACGUGAAAUUGUUAAAAGGGAAGCGUUUAUGACCAGACGUGGGCCGGUUAAUCAUCCAGCGUUCUCGCUGGUGCACUUUGCCGGUCCAGGCCAGCAUCAGUUCGUUGCGGGGGAUAAAGGCUUUGGGAAUGUAGCUCCUCGGAGUGUUAUAGCCCUCUGCGUAAUACCCUGCGGCGGACUGAGGUUCGCGCUCUGCAAGGAUGCUGGCGUAAUGGUCAUCAACGACCCGUCUUGAAACACGGACCAAGGAGUCGUCUUCGUAUGCGAGUGUUCGGGUGUAAAACCCCUACGCGAAAUGAAAGUGAACGCAGGUGAGAGCUUCGGCGCAUCAUCGACCGAUCCUGAUGUUCUCGGAUGGAUUUGAGUAAGAGCAUACGGGGCCGGACCCGAAAGAAGGUGAACUAUGCCUGUAUAGGGUGAAGCCAGAGGAAACUCUGGUGGAGGCUCGCAGCGGUUCUGACGUGCAAAUCGAUCGUCAAAUAUGGGCAUGGGGGCGAAAGACUAAU